UUAAAGCUGUGCAAAAUUGUUGCCGUGGCAGUUUUUCUUAACUUUUAAUCGUUUAGUAGCAGGUCUCAAAUCAACUAAACUGUAAGGAAAAUACGACAAAAACUUCUGUAAACUAUGGUGAAAAAAUCUUGCUGGAUUCCGGCAUGGUACUUGUUCCGAAUAAAGCUGUGUUGGCUUAGGAACGGUUACCAGCACUGCAACCACUAUCCGGUCCAAGCUUCAGCGGUCAAAAUGUAUCUGGAUUCCGGAAAAGGUUUCCCGGCAAGUCUACGUGCCGUCAGUAGUUGGCAAAAUCCCGCUGGAAGUGACUCGGAUGAGGAGCGGAGUUUGAUUGACAAAUACGGAGCGAACUGGACCGGAUUCCUCAGUACGGAACCAUUUAAAGGUCAAGGCCCAGAACCUCCAGCGCGGCGGACCAAAUUGCGUUGAUGGCCUGGCGGAAGAUGGUCAGUUCAUCCGACGUUGAAGGAAGUCGAAUGAAAUCCGUAGUUUUUGGGAGCAGAAAAAGAAAACACGUAAAAACACGAGUGAAAAAUUAAUAAAAUAAACCGUUGUGAUAAGUGAUAAUGUGUUAGAUAUUUAAUGUGCAAUUAAAAAUGUUUCAAUUGUUCUAGAA